UGAAGAAAUGCAGCAAGGAAAGACCUUCUUGCUGAUCUAGGCUUAAGACUUUUUCCAAACAAGCAAAAGCAGCUCAGCAGAUUUUUCAGGCCAAAAAUUUGGAUAGGGAUGUUUGUAAAUUGGUUUGUUUUGCCCUCCUGUAUGCCAUCCUGGUUUAUCGGAUGUAAAAAAUGUGGAUUAUCUGGAUUUCAGUUGUAUUCUGCCCACUCGAGGACCAGACCAGAAAUACUUGAUUAUGGUACUACUUGCAUCCAACUUGUACUCAACCAAAGGAAUUGUGUCCAAGCAAGAUCACAGUCUCUGUUGCUUCAUAUAUUUGAGAAGAAUGCAAUAACUAAAGUAAGAUGAUAAACUGAAAUUUGGAAAUGGAAAUGGCUUGAAAUCCACGUAUCUGAAGGACAUGGAAAUCACCAAGUGAAAGACUUUGGGAUGCUGUCAUAUGAAACUGUUCCUUCUGAGAGGAUGUUGCUGCACUGACAAUGGAGUAUUUUUGAGGGGCUUGUUUCACCCUGCUGCUCUCAUUAUGGCUUACACAUCACAAGAAUGCUUAUUUUCCCUACCAAGCUGAUCCCUGAGCUCUUGCUGUAUGGCUGGCUUACUAGAAUUGCUGGUUAGUCUGAAUGAUCAUUUUACACAGUUUUGGGGUCUUCUCCCCUUUUUUUUUAAUUCUUUGCAACUCAAAUAUAUUCUGAACUGAUAUUGUUAGAUUCAUUUAUUCUGUUUCUUGAUGAUUUUUAUCUUACACAUAUAAUUGUAAGCGCCGUAUUUUUUAUCUUGCAUUGGUGUAGUGGUUGUGUUCUGAACUGAAGGAGAUGAGUGAUCUGAGGAAUCCAGGCCAAUGCUGGUUUAGGUAAAAUGAUCACACAUGAAUAGAUCUGCUUAGCAUUCAGGAGCCCUAUAAUCCUUCUCUGGCGUUUGAGGAGACCAUAGGGUGGUGAUGGGCUCCUCUGUCCUUCAUCUAAUACUUGCCCAGUGUAAGAACACUGGAAAACAGGUCAUUGUCCUCACAGGAUCCCUGUGAGGUUGGCAGUACUGCUGUCACCAUUUUGCAGAUGAGGAAAUUUUUGGCAGAAGAGAAUUGAAUGACAUAACCAGCAUUCCUCUAAUAUAUAUCAGAUAGUGAUCUAUAGAAGCAUAAAUCCAUAAAUCCUUUUUACCUCCUUCCCAAGUUUGGCAGAAGACUUUGUACUCUUCCUGAUUUCUGUCCUAGUCAGAAUUGUUCUGCCAUCUGCUCCAAAUUAAUUUCUGUAACUUUCCAUGAUUUCCCAAAUAAAAAUAUUGGAUUGCAUUUGUGUCAUGUUUACAAUGUACAUGGAGGAGAGGGGAAAUCUCAGAGGAGUCAGAUCAUGGAUCUUAAAGCUUGCAUCUGCAUUGUUGUGACGCUGUGAGUAUGCACAGAGCAAGAAAGAACUUUUCUGUGCUAGGUGAAUUUCUAGGGAGUCUUUCCUUUCAAUGGUCAACAACAAGUUUUGGAAAACAGGAUGAUUCUACCUUGGUAUGUUUUUUGAUACAUAAAGACAAAAAUAACAAAAUAUCUAUUUCUUUUAUAAUUAGGGGGGAAAUGCAUUUAGAUUUUUGGUUUGACCCACUUGAUCCCACAUUGAAGAGAAAGAGAAGGGUGAGACAAAGAAAUCAAAAGUUUUUCUGUCUUAAUAAUUUCUAGAUAAACAUCACCAGUGAGCUUAUUAGUAUGGCAUUUUCAGUGGAAAUACAGUAUUUCAGCUGGACAAAAUGCAAGAAUGUUUCCUACUCAGGAAUGGAACAAUCCUUCAUACUGCCACAGCUGCCUCAGCUCCUAAUAUGGAUUUAGCAAGUAGCUCAAAAAUACCCAUCAGAACCCAAAGAUGCAGUUGCUGUGGUGGUUUUUCAAAACCUUAAAGGCAUAUACAAAAAAAAAAAAGUUAGAAAAAAAUUUGCUUUAACAAUUGUUGAUUGCAAAAUAUGAGGGAUCUUGCAUUUUCCCGGAGUUACUAGCCAUUUGUUUUGAUUUCUUCCAUAGCAGGUUCUGCCUUGAAUAUGCUACAAAAUUUGAUUCUGUUGUGUUUUAUGUGCACUGAGCUCAAGCAAAAGCCUUCUGUCACAAUGUCAGUGCCAUUUUGCUCUU